ensembl:snRNA U6 U6 spliceosomal RNA
UUGCUUUGGCAGCACACAUGCUAAAAUUGGAAUGAUACAGAGAAGAUUAGCCUGGCCCCUGCACAAGGAUAAUACACAAAUUUGUGAAGCAUUCCAUAUUAAA